GAGCACACCUACACUAAGGUCUACUUGUUCAGUUGCUUCAGCCUGUGUGAUGGAGAUAAUAUUCUGCUUCAUCAACGUUGGAGAUGAUGUUACACUGGACAGGGACCAUGUUUACUACUUCCAAGUCCAGGCGUCACCACUUCAUCAUGAGUGCAGAGACCAGCAGAAGAUCCAUAACACAGAGGCCUCCAGGUGAACUCACAAGAACAACAGGAUCCAUUAAAGGUGAAGGAGGAGACAACGCCAGCAGGUGAAGUUCUGGACCUGAAGUGGAUGAAAGAAAACAAGAGUUAUGAAGCUGAUAAUUAGACUGAUAC